ensembl:lncRNA
CUACUAUAAAAUGUGUGAUAGAAUAGCAUGUCUGGUGACGUUCAUGUCUGCAGCAUAUUCCUUGUUUGGGACUCUUAUUUUGCCAUGUCCUGUUUUCCUGUUUAUUGUGUUACUUCCUGGUUAACAUGUGAUUAAUUCUCUGCGUACUACAUACUGUAUACUUGUGGUGGAAAAUGUGUAGAAAAAUCUGUGUGAAGAAAACUCAAUAAUCUGUUUGAAGAAAAUCAACAAUCAGUAUAACCACCAUGACAGUCUGGCAAACUAGUAAACUGCUAAAAAUGAUUUACACUCUUGAAAUGAUUAAGAUUAUGUGCACUAAAUGUGUAUCAAGUAUAACAAACUUACUGAUGUGUGGAAUGUAUGCCUCAGCUUUGACACAUCACCCAUGGGGAAGGCCAAUGAAGAUUUAGUGCAUCCUAUAGCCACAAGUAAUUGCAUCAACAAACCCAUCACCUGCUGGGCCAGCCAGUCAGCAAGCAUAACUAGACAUAACUGAACACAUAAGAAAAAAAAAAAAACAACGUAUAUCACUGGGCUACAGACAGCGUAUGUUGUACCCUGCAACCCUAACAAAGCUUACGACCAAAAUCUCCAUAUGUACCAAACCAAACUAAUUGCUAAAUGGCAGCAUAACUAAUGCUAAACCAAACUAAAUGCCAAACCAAACUAAAUGCUAAAUGCCAGCAUAGCUAAACACAUCUAAAACACAUGCAAUACCCCCCUAAUCAACAUAACUGGGCUACAGACAGCGUAUGUUGUACCGUGAAGGAGUGCGGAAGAUCCCGGGUACAGCACACGGCGCGUAUUGCGACUGUCACCAGCCAACUAAAUACUAAAUAAAAUCCCCAUACACCCAGCCAGGCAGCCUCUCUCUCUCCCUCUCCCUCUCCUUUCUUAUCACAUUGCUAAUGCCUAUAAUAACCCACUCACUCUGUUCUUUUUCUUUCUCUCCUAAUCUAGACUAUCUUCGCCAUGGGAUGCUGCUGUAGUCUCUCCACCCGGUCUACCUGCAGAAACUCUCGACCAAUUGCACCCACCGCCACCGCACUGCCGUACACUUACUCUACCUCAUACCCUAUGCUAGCAUUUAUAUACAAUAUAUAUUAUUGCCACCAUCGACAUGUUUCUCUGUUCCUACUCCC